rnacentral:rRNA from 1 species
UACGUAGGGUGCAAGCAUUAAUCGGAAUUAUUGGGCGUAAAGGGCGUGUAGGCGGAUUUGUAAGUCAGAUGUGAAAUUUCGGGGCUCAACCUCGAAGCUGCAUUUGAAACUGCUAAUCUGGAGGGUUGACGGAGAAAACGGAAUUCCACGUGUAGCGGUGAAAUGCGUAGAUAUGUGGAAGAACACCAGUGGCGAAAGCGGUUUUCUAGUUAACACCUGACGCUGAGGCGCGAGAGCAAGGGGAGCAAACAGG